rnacentral:rRNA from 1 species
GAUAAACGCUGGCGGCGUGCAUGAGACAUGCAAGUCGAACGAACGAGCUUGCUCGUUAGUGGCGGACGGCUGAGUAACGCGUAGGUGACCUGCCCCGAAGUGGGGGAUAACUGCCCGAAAGGGUGGCUAAUACCGCAUGUGGCGACACUUUCAUUGGUGUCAUCAAAGCCGCGAGGCGCUUCGGGAGGGGCCUGCGUCCGAUUAGCUCGUUGGUGGGGUAAUGGCUCACCAAGGCGACGAUCGGUAGGUGGUCUGAGAGGACGAUCACCCAGACUGGGACUGAGACACGGCCCAGACUCCUACGGGAGGCAGCAGUCGGGAAUUUUGCUCAAUGGGCGCAAGCCUGAAGCAGCAACGCCGCGUGCGGGAUGAAGGCCUUCGGGUUGUAAACCGCUUUUGUCAGGGACGAUGAUGACGGUACCUGACGAAUAAGUCACGGCUAACUACGUGCCAGCAGCCGCGGUAACAC